rnacentral:rRNA from 1 species
UCACUCUGGGACAAGCCCUGGAAACGGGGUCUAAUACCGGAUAACACCGGCUUCCGCAUGGGAGCUGGUUGAAAGCUCCGGCGGUGAAGGAUGAGCCCGCGGCCUAUCAGCUUGUUGGUGGGGUAAUGGCCUACCAAGGCGACGACGGGUAGCCGGCCUGAGAGGGCGACCGGCCACACUGGGACUGAGACACGGCCCAGACUCCUACGGGAGGCAGCAGUGGGGAAUAUUGCACAAUGGGCGAAAGCCUGAUGCAGCGACGCCGCGUGAGGGAUGACGGCCUUCGGGUUGUAAACCUCUUUCAGCAGGGAAGAAGCGAAAGUGACGGUACCUGCAGAAGAAGCGCCGGCUAACUACGUGCCAGCAGCCGCGGUAAUACGUAGGGCGCAAGCGUUGUCCGGAAUUAUUGGGCGUAAAGAGCUCGUAGGCGGCUUGUCACGUCGGGUGUGAAAGCCCGGGGCUUAACCCCGGGUCUGCAUCCGAUACGGGCAGGCUAGAGUGUGGUAGGGGAGAUCGGAAUUCCUGGUGUAGCGGUGAAAUGCGCAGAUAUCAGGAGGAACACCGGUGGCGAAGGCGGAUCUCUGGGCCAUUACUGACGCUGAGGAGCGAAAGCGUGGGGAGCGAACAGGAUUAGAUACCCUGGUAGUCCACGCCGUAAACGUUGGGAACUAGGUGUUGGCGACAUUCCACGUCGUCGGUGCCGCAGCUAACGCAUUAAGUUCCCCGCCUGGGGAGUACGGCCGCAAGGCUAAACUCAAAGGAAUUGACGGGGGCCCGCACAAGCAGCGGAGCAUGUGGCUAAUUCGACGCAACGCGAAGAACCUUACCAAGGCUUGACAUAUACCGGAAAG